GUUUUUCGAAAGGACAAUCGGACAAUUUACCCACCGUGGAUAUGUUUAUGGUUGCAACUUUCAUACAAAAUGCAGAAGGCUUUUCUCUUGGAGAGGUUCGCGGUUUCAAAGCUAGCAAAUCUGGAAGAAAAUCUUAAGGAGACUCCGCUAUAGGAUGGAUCCAAGUCAAAAGGUGUGAUAAAAUAUGCACAGUUAAAGCUAAAAUAACACCUGAGUGUAGUGUGAGAAAAAAGCAAUAUGCUGUUACCUGUACUGUGGAUGAAGAAUUGGAAAAUAUUUUAACUGUUGAAUGAUUGUGCUGCUUCUUCGGAUGGAUGUAAGCAUGCCAUUGCUUUUUUAAUGUGGCUUCGUAGAAGGAGCGAAGAACCUUCUCCCACUGACGUGGCUUGUUACUGGUCAAGAAGCCAGCUUUCAUGAGGUAGGAUUGUCAGUUAAAUAUUUUACUCUAAAAGACUUUGGCCAAACACAAGAGUUCUGAUGAAGAAAGUGCAAAUUUUUUAAAAGAAUUAACAGCUACAGGAUUGGAAAAUAACAGCCCAAGCCAGAUUUUAAAAUAUUUUACGUCUGACAAAAUAACAGAUCAUCUUGGGUUGCAUCAGCUUAUUUUGAGGUUUUCAAAGGGAAAAUCUAGUGAACAACCAGAUGUUACAAGCUUUCUAGAAUUUUGCAAACAAGAAAUGACCACAGAUUUAUGUUCCCAGGCUGCAGUAAUGACGGAAACACAGUCCAACUCUGCUUUGUGAUUUGAUCUGCGAUAUGCAAGGAUUACCACUUACAAAAUAUACGAUGCAGCCCAUUGUAAGAAGUGUGAUCGUUCUUUUGUAAAUCAAGUUCUUGGCGUAACAAAAAUUGAUGCUACAGAAGCAAUGUCUAGAGGAAAAAAACUAGAAGAAAGUGUAGUAAAACUCUUAGAAAAAAAUUUAAAAAUUAAAUUUAAUCACAUCGGGCUACAAUUGGAUCCUAAACACCCUAUAUUUGGAGCAUCACCUGAUGCCAUAUGUGAAGAAUAUGUGGUUGAAAUCAAGUGUCCUUACUCUGAAAAAACUGUGCACAAUUAUUUAACUAAGAAUAAUGAAAUAACUUCAAAAUAUAAAGCCCAAGUGCAACUGCAGUUGGAGGCAGCAGAUUGUUUUUGGCGCCAUAUUAUAUUCCCAUAGGUAUAUAAAUCUGCAUUCAGUACUGUAUAAAUAAAACUGCCUAUUU